GUGAAAUCCUGUCAGAUGUAACAGUAAAAUAUUAGCAAAAAAAAAAAAAAAUCCACUUCUGGCAACAAAGUGACAGAGUGAUAAUGCUUUUGCCCUGAUUCUGGGUUCAAAUACGAGCUUGGGUUGACAUUGAAACCGGCGAAGAAAUUUACAAUAGCAACUCUGGCUUUUUGCCAAUAAAUCUGCAUCACGGACCUUUCCUGGUGAGACCCUUUUCCCUCUACCCACCCCCUUUACAUUUUUUCCUACUAGCUAAGACAGAGAAGAGAAAAAAAAUCCUCUGUUUUUGAAGCCCAAGUCCCUUACUAUUUUUGGCAGUUUGCUUUUGAAAUCAGCAACCCUACUGAUAAAAUGAUCCAAUCAGUCCUUCCCAGUUGUCAAGACAACAGUUCAUAAUUGUACCAGCUCUUUCCAUUGCAGCUAGACAUUUCAUAAAUAGAUAAUUCUCUAAUUGAUCCAGCCAAUCCUACUUUGCAUACCCUGCCAAACUAGCACAGACUCUUUAGUGCAGUCCUGAUUUCUGUAUUAAUGAAUUGAGAAGAUGACAUCAGGCUCUUAGGGAUCAGCACUUCAAAGAAGAUGGCAUUCUUGCUCAACUCUUUGUUCCCCUUCUGUGAGAUGAUGAACUAGGGAUAUGCUGACACUGAAAUCAUGUCUGCAAAGUGUUUGGAGAUGUUUGGGAAUAAGGCUGAAGAAAAUGGAGAAACAUUAUUAGAUUAUGCUUAUUUUUUCCAGAAUUAUUUUUAAAAUUAUUUUCAAUACCUCUGCUAGUGAAGAUUUAACAGUGUUGUUGAUGACUCCACACAGUUUUUUGUGGGAAGAUUUGUAGUGCAUAAAAAGAAAAAAAAAAAGGAGGAGAACAUAACUGUUGAAGAUGGUGAAUGAUGUGGGGUAAGUGGAUAUGAGGAGCAGCUGAGGUCACUUGGUUUGUUCAGCCUUGAGGAGACAGGGAUGAAUCUACAGCUUCCUCCCAAGGGAAAAGAGAUGGGGAGGAACUGGUCUCUUCUCUUUAGUGACCAGUGACAGGACUCAAUGAAAGGACAUGAAACUGUGUCAGAGGAGGUUCAAGUUGGAUAUUUAGAAAAUCAUCUUCUUCCAGAGGGAGA